GGGCGAUUAGCUCACUCAGUUGGGAGAGCACCUCCCUUACAAGGAGGGGGUCACUGGUUCGAGACCGGUAUCGCCCACCA
rnacentral:tRNA from 2 species